UACGUAGGGUGCGAGCGUUGUCCGGAAUUAUUGGGCGUAAAGAGCUCGUAGGCGGCUUGUCGCGUCGGAUGUGAAAGCCCGGGGCUUAACUCCGGGUCUGCAUUCGAUACGGGCAGGCUAGAGUUCGGUAGGGGAGAUCGGAAUUCCUGGUGUAGCGGUGAAAUGCGCAGAUAUCAGGAGGAACACCGGUGGCGAAGGCGGAUCUCUGGGCCGAUACUGACGCUGAGGCGCGAAAGCGUGGGGAGCAAACGGG
rnacentral:rRNA from 1 species